GUUUGCACGUAAACAUUAGACACAGGAUAGCAGACAGCACACAUCCAGUUACAACAGAAAUCGAAAUCCUCAGACGAGCACUUGAAAGUUGAAACUACGAUGUUGCUGAAGCAUUGUGUUACUUCUCUCCCAGUCCGAGGCCUGUCGUCUGUAAGAAACUAUUCAAUCAAAUCAACGCUGAGUGAAAAUGAAAUCCAGAAAUUCAGUAAAAUGGCAAAUGAAUGGUGGGAUGUUAAUGGACCAUUCAGUGGGUUACACUCUUUAAAUAAACUAAGAGUUCCAUUCAUUCGAAAUGGAAUAUGCUCUCAUCAAAAAUCAGCUGUUGUUAACAAUUCUCCAACAAGUCCGUUGGCAGGAUGUAGCAUAUUGGAUGUAGGAUGUGGUGGUGGAAUUUUGAGCACAAGUCUGGGCCGUUUGGGAGCAAGUGUUACAGGACUUGAUCCAAGUGAAGAAAAUACUGCAGCAGCCUCUCUUCAUGCUAAUAAAAUGAGGCUUCAGAAUGUGACCUUUGAAGUCAAUACCAUUGAACAUUUUCAAGCAUUAAACACUAGUUUGUCAACCACCUUUGAUGCAGUUGUUGCAUCUGAAGUCAUUGAGCAUGUAGAAAAUCCAAAAUUUUUCAUCCAAACAUGCACUGAAUUACUCAAACCAGGAGGUUCUUUAUUCAUAACAACUCUAAAUAGGACUCCUGCUUCUUGGGCCCUUGCCAUUUGUGGCGCAGAAUAUAUUCUCAAUGUUGUACCAAGAGGAACACAUGAUUGGAAUAAGUUUAUCACUCCUGAUGAACUAAUAGACUACAUUAAUAGCAGUGGUUGCCAGCUUCGACAAAUAUGUGGCAUGGCUUACAACCCUUUUAUGAACAAAUGGAAAUGGUCAAGAACCACUAGCGUCAACUAUGCUGUACACGCUACAAAAUCGUCUCAGCUAACAUCACCGGAUCAAAGAAAUGAUACAUAAGCCUACAGAAAUUGGUCCCUAUUUACAAGUUGUCGACGGAAAUCUUUGUGAAACUUGUUCAGUUUCAAUCAAUUAUCAAGAUAUCACACAUCCUGAUAAUCAAGAAUUGUUGUAUUAAGGCUGUCAAGUCGACUGGAAGUUUAAGAACAAACUGGGUUUUGAGACUUUUGACGAGGGAAAAUAAAUUUAUUCAUACAUACGAUCGCUGGUUAGUUAUGGACGGUGGUCCGUAACGCCUUUUUGCUUCUUCUGUAAACGCAUCAGUUAUUUUAUUCACAA
rnacentral:misc_RNA from 1 species